AUUGAACGCUGGCGGCAGGCCUAACACAUGCAAGUCGAGCGGAUGAAGGGAGCUUGCUCCUGGAUUCAGCGGCGGACGGGUGAGUAAUGCCUAGGAAUCUGCCUGGUAGUGGGGGAUAACGUCCGGAAACGGGCGCUAAUACCGCAUACGUCCUGAGGGAGGAAGUGGGGGAUCUUCGGACCUCACGCUAUCAGAUGAGCCUAGGUCGGAUUAGCUAGUUGGUGGGGUAAAGGCCUACCAAGGCGACGAUCCGUAACUGGUCUGAGAGGAUGAUCAGUCACACUGGAAGUGAGACACGGUCCAGAGUCCUACGGGAGGCAGCAGUCGGGAAUAUUGGACAGUGGGCGGAAGCCUGAUCCAGUCAUGCCGCGUGUGUGAAGAAGGUCUUCGGAUUGUAAAGCACUUUAAGUUGGGAGGAAGGGCAGUAAGUUAAUACCUUGCUGUUUUGACGUUACCAACAGAAUAAGCACCGGCUAACUUCGUG
rnacentral:rRNA from 1 species